rnacentral:rRNA from 1 species
UUUAUGGAGAGUUUGAUCCUGGCUCAGGACGAACGCUGGCGGCGUGCUUAACACAUGCAAGUCGAACGGUGAUGUCAGAGCUUGCUCUGGCGGAUCAGUGGCGAACGGGUGAGUAACACGUGAGUAACCUGCCCCCGACUCUGGGAUAACUGCUAGAAAUGGUAGCUAAUACCGGAUAUGACGAUUGGCCGCAUGGUCUGGUCGUGGAAAGAAUUUCGGUUGGGGAUGGACUCGCGGCCUAUCAGGUUGUUGGUGAGGUAAUGGCUCACCAAGCCUACGACGGGUAGCCGGCCUGAGAGGGUGACCGGCCACACUGGGACUGAGACACGGCCCAGACUCCUACGGGAGGCAGCAGUGGGGAAUAUUGCACAAUGGGCGAAAGCCUGAUGCAGCAACGCCGCGUGAGGGAUGACGGCCUUCGGGUUGUAAACCUCUUUUAGUAGGGAAGAAGCGAAAGUGACGGUACCUGCAGAAAAAGCACCGGCUAACUACGUGCCAGCAGCCGCGGUAAUACGUAGGGUGCAAGCGUUGUCCGGAAUUAUUGGGCGUAAAGAGCUCGUAGGCGGUUUGUCGCGUCUGCUGUGAAAUCCCGAGGCUCAACCUCGGGUCUGCAGUGGGUACGGGCAGACUAGAGUGCGGUAGGGGAGAUUGGAAUUCCUGGUGUAGCGGUGGAAUGCGCAGAUAUCAGGAGGAACACCGAUGGCGAAGGCAGAUCUCUGGGCCGUAACUGACGCUGAGGAGCGAAAGCAUGGGGAGCGAACAGGAUUAGAUACCCUGGUAGUCCAUGCCGUAAACGUUGGGAACUAGAUGUGGGGACCAUUCCACGGUCUCCGUGUCGCAGCUAACGCAUUAUGUUCCCCGCCUGGGGAGUACGGCCGCAAGGCUAAAACUCAAAGGAAUUGACGGGGGCCCGCACAAGCGGCGGAGCAUGCGGAUUAAUUCGAUGCAACGCGAAGAACCUUACCAAGGCUUGACAUAUACCGGAAACAUGCAGAAAUGUGUGCCCCGCAAGGUCGGUAUACAGGUGGUGCAUGGUUGUCGUCAGCUCGUGUCGUGAGAUGUUGGGUUAAGUCCCGCAACGAGCGCAACCCUCGUUCUAUGUUGCCAGCACGUAAUGGUGGGAACUCAUAGGAGACUGCCGGGGUCAACUCGGAGGAAGGUGGGGAUGACGUCAAAUCAUCAUGCCCCUUAUGUCUUGGGCUUCACGCAUGCUACAAUGGCCGGUACAAAGGGCUGCGAUACCGUAAGGUGGAGCGAAUCCCAAAAAGCCGGUCUCAGUUCGGAUUGAGGUCUGCAACUCGACCUCAUGAAGUCGGAGUCGCUAGUAAUCGCAGAUCAGCAACGCUGCGGUGAAUACGUUCCCGGGCCUUGUACACACCGCCCGUCAAGUCAUGAAAGUCGGUAACACCCGAAGCCAGUGGCCUAACCGCAAGGGAGGAGCUGUCGAAGGUGGGAUCGGUGAUUAGGACUAAGUCGUAACAAGGUAGCCGUACCGGAAGGUGCGGCUGGAUCACCUCCUUUCUAAGGA